rnacentral:lncRNA from 1 species
GGGGAGAUAACUAGUAAAUGUGUGGGGUGCCCGUGGAACCUCAGGCAGGCAGAGGUUCUCAUACUUUUUUGUGCUUUAGGAAUGUCAGUAUGAAGCAUUUAAGAUUUCUAGAUUUCAUCCUUUUAUCCCUCUCCAUUCCAUAAAGAUGAGGAAUUAUGGACAACUAGCUAGAUGGCAAAAUAACGUUCUUUAUAGAGUAAAGUCUCGAGUUUUGAUUUUGGUGAUCACCGG